CCUUUUUCUCGUUUUCACAGAGCAAUGUAAGGCCUUUGCACUUUUCAUGCUUCUUGGAAAAUACGUUUUCUGCCUGCAUUUUUCAAUUUUUUACAAGUUUGGACCCUUUCAAAGGACAUUUGUCUCCAGUAAAGCAGAUGCCAUUUUCUGUCUGAAUGAGUUUACUUGGAGUUUAACAGGGUUGAAAUCUUCAAGAAAAAUUCUUUCUAAUUUCAUGGAAAUCUUCAAGAGGAAGAUGGUUCAGAGAGGCAAGCAGUUAGCUGACCUGCUACAACAGACAACGAGCACUGAGCCAACAGCCAUUAGAAGCCUUGUCCUGAGAGGACUUCCAGUCAUUCUUAGGGACGAUGCAUCCAUGUUCUUUCAGAGCAAUUUGAAUCUUAAUGAGGGAGACUCUGUGGACAUUCCAGUGGCAUUACUCUGCUAUGAGGACAACAGCGCUGCAAGCCCAGCAUCACCACAACUAUUCCCUUCAUGAGUGGGAAUCAUCCUAGAGGGCAGCCCUGUAAUGGACACACUCACCAACCUACCUCAAGCAAUGUGCCUCUUGUUUGGCUUUACCUCCACACUCCACCUGCACUACACCUUUACCUUCAUUCAGCAGGUCAUAGUAAAUUCAGCCUCCAAAGACUCAAAAGCUGAAGAAUGAGCUUGCAGUGCAAGGUGCAACUCUUCAAGCCCAUGUCUGGAUUAUUGCACAGUUAUAUUCACUGACUGAAACAAAUAUUCAUGCUGUUGUUCAUUUUGUAUGUGAUUCCUCUUGUACAAGAUGCAUCUAGUAUUGUUUAUUUUACUAAAAUUAAUGCACAGUGGACAUAUUUUAGAAAGUUGCAGUUUUUAACCCAUUCUUGUCCUCACUGCAUGUUCUUAUUGCUGCUGUUCUUAAUGCCUGUUUUGUUAUGUGGCACACAAAUCAUACAGGCUUUUCCUUGUGUACUUGCAGUACAGUAUGCUGCUACAUGAUCAGUGUUUUCUUCUUCCAAACAGACAAACAAACAGAGCAAACAACUAAAAAACUGUGCUGUCUAUUUGAAAGGAAACUGUUUAAUAACACGUUUUUUGUGUUUUGUUUUUUUGUGCUAACAUAGAAGGGUUCUGUAAUACGUUAAUAGCAAAAAAUUAAGAAUAUACUUUUGAAACUAUUGACAAAAAUUAAUUUUGGUAAUUUUAUGAAACAAGGUCUUGCUGUUGUUUUGUAUUUGCAUCUGGUAUUUCACACAGAGCAUUAAUGUUGAGAAAUGUUUGUUGUUUUGUUAUGUUUCAAUAAAAUGAAUUAAAUGUG